rnacentral:snRNA from 1 species
GUGCUCACUUCAGCAGCACAUAUACUAAAAUUGGAACGAUACAGAGAAGAUUAGCAGGGUCCCUGCACAAGGAUGAUACGCAAAUUCAUGAAGUGUUCCAUAUUUUU